UACGAAGGGGGCAAGCGUUGUUCGGAAUUACUGGGCGUAAAGGGCGCGUAGGCGGCCGCCUAAGUCAGACGUGAAAUCCCUCGGCUCAACCGGGGAACUGCGUCUGAUACUGGGUGGCUUGAAUCCGGGAGAGGGAUGCGGAAUUCCAGGUGUAGCGGUGAAAUGCGUAGAUAUCUGGAGGAACACCGGUGGCGAAGGCGGCAUCCUGGACCGGCAUUGACGCUGAGGCGCGAAAGCCAGGGGAGCAAACGGG
rnacentral:rRNA from 1 species